GUUGAGACAGAUUUUAUGCCACCAAAAUCCUCCUCAUAGCCCUCAGCUAGGCAGAAGCCCCAGGGGGGUCAGACACAGGCUUAGCAGUAGAGCCACAAACACACCCGCAAAAUGUACUGCCAUCAGUUUCAGAAGUUUUCUUCGAAAGUCAGAGAAAUUCUUUUGCAAGUGAAUGUACAGUGGAAUGAGUGAGUAGAAGCAGGGACUCGCUGGUUUCAGAUGAACCAAUUAAAAGCCAGCAAGUUGAGCAGAGUGCCCAGUCCACAAAUAACAGCAUGAAUGAUGAGUCUGAUCUCAGUAGCGCCCUCUAUGAUAGUGUCAGGAAUGCAGUUGAAGCAUUGAAUAGUAACAGUAAAGAGAAUUGCUAUGAAGGAGACAAUUGAGGCAGAUUUUAUGCCACCAAAUCCUCCUGGUAGCCUUCAACAAGACAGAAGCCCUAGUGGGUCACAUGCUUAGUGAUGAAACCACGGACACACCCGUUCCAAAGCAGUAGGUAAUAGGCCCACCUGACUCUUGACCUUCAUCCUGAUAGUGAACCUACUCAAACUGAGGUUGAAAGAAUUGAGAUGUGGGAUAAAUCUGUGAAACAAAAUUACAAGCCAGGAAAACGUGCAAGC